UUCACUACUCAGUUGGUAGAGUAUAAAGCUCUUAACCUUGUGGACGUGGGUUCAAGCCCCAUGGUGGAG
rnacentral:tRNA from 1 species